GACGAACGCUGGCGGCGUGCCUAAUACAUGCAAGUCGAGCGGUCCCUUCGGGGAUAGCGGCGGACGGGUGAGUAACACGUAGGCAACCUGCCUGUAAGAUCGGGAUAACUAUCGGAAACGAUAGCUAAGACCGGAUAGCUGGUUUUCUCGCAUGAGAAAAUCAUGAAACACGGAGCAAUCUGUGGCUUACAGAUGGGCCUGCGGCGCAUUAGCUAGUUGGUGAGGUAACGGCUCACCAAGGCGACGAUGCGUAGCCGACCUGAGAGGGUGAACGGCCACACUGGGACUGAGACACGGCCCAGACUCCUACGGGAGGCAGCAGUAGGGAAUCUUCCGCAAUGGACGCAAGUCUGACGGAGCAACGCCGCGUGAGUGAUGAAGGUUUUCGGAUCGUAAAGCUCUGUUGCCCUAGACGAACAGCGUGAGGAGUAACUGCCUCGCGUGUGACGGUAUAGGAGAAGAAAGCCCCGGCUAACUACGUGCCAGCCGCCGCUGUAAGAC
rnacentral:rRNA from 1 species